rnacentral:lncRNA from 1 species
UAAGGGAGCUACCAUUUGAUUUUUAUGGGGGGGGGCUAGGAUGAAAUUUGAAAAAAUAGGCAGGACAGGAGUUUUGAGUAAAAAAAAAAGGCAGGAUGAGACACUUGCAAAAAAAAAAGUCAGGACGACAAUUUAGGUAAAAAAAAGUCAGGAUAACCUAAAAAAAAAAAAAGGCAGGACCGAACAGAGUGAAAAAUAAAAAGGCAGGACAGAGAUUACAGCUAAAAAAAAAUGCAGGACAAAAUUUUUCAUCCUAGCCCCCCCAUAAAAAUCAAAUGGUAGCUCCCUAAAAGGAAUA